rnacentral:rRNA from 1 species
UUUUUUAUCUUUGUUGCUGGGUGCGCGUGUGCGAGCGUGCAAGGAGUGGGGUGGGAAGAGCGAGGGCUAGGGUAGAGGGGUGGCCGGAGUUGAACCGAUACCGCUGCCCCUCUGCUCCUAGUUGUUGAGGAGAGGUGACGGAAGAGGUGGCGGCGGGCGGUGUGCGGAGGGGCGCAGGGAGGAAGUAGGGGCAGGGGCUAACCCGGCGGCGGUGGUGGCGUGGUAGUCCCCUGCGGUCCCCUCACGUUGGUGGCGCGGCGGUCCCGGCCGUUACGCACUCGGCGGCGCCCAUGGCGCGGCUAACGACGAAGACUGCUACGCCCUCGGCGGGGUAGGCCGCUCCUGCUCCCCGCGGCAGUGGCGACUAGGAGUGAAGGAGUCCCGCGUACGACGUAGACUUCGGAGGGAUUACGCGAGGAGGUGAGGCAAAGAUUGUGCAUCAAGUAUGGACCGAGCGGCGACGGUACGCGGCGACUCGAGACCUCGUCGGCGACAGCUUCGGGUAGCGGUCGGCAGGAACCCACCCGGCCGCGGCUUUGAGCCGAGGGUCACCGUAGGGGCGAGCUCCAGGAAGAGGUGGAGUAUAAGCCGUCUCAAGGACUAAAGGAGUGAAGAGGACUCUACUUCAGAUAACUACUACACGGUUACACUUCCAAUAAAGAAAAUAUGAAAUGCUGACGAAGUUAUAAGUUCUAAACGAAGGCCAGAAGAAACUUAAAUCCACCUAUAAAUGAGUGUACGGAUUUAUAGAAGGUAAACCAAUACAUAAAAAAAUAGCGUGUCUUGUUUUACCAUUGAUAAGAAAAUGGGUUCUUCUUUAACCUAAAUGGGUUCAAAAACGUUCGAACUACGCGUGAAUAUGUUUUCAACUUAAUUUUACAACUCAUCACAAACGG